GCGCCUCCUCCUCCGCACAGCUCCGGUUGCGGGGAGGCCCGGGUGGGUACCCGGCGCUCCGGCUCCCAGUCUCCUGGGCUUCUCCAGUCCUUCAGCGCCGUUCUCCGGUCACAGGGAAUGAAAGCGAGGAAGAAGGAAACGGUGUCGAGAAUUGCGAAGAGAGAAAGCAUAGAAAACCCACAUUAGAGGCACUCCCAGAGCAGAAACCCUUCGGAGCAUCCCGACUUCCUCGGCCCGCGUGCAAUCCAGGCAAAAUUGAGGUUGUCUCUGAGCCGCCCUCCCUAAGCAGGUCGGAAAGCCCCCGAAUCAUCCCAGGUCCCGCCGCGCUGCACUCGCAACCUGGGGUGGAGGUCCCUCUAGUGGUUGGCACCAAACAAAAGUUCUGUCUUAUGAAGAGCCGAGGUCAGGAAGCAUUUCCCUGUGCCCAGCGCCAAGGUCUGGGACCUUAGGUCCAAGAAAAGCGUUGGCAAUGUCUGACCACAGGAAUGGGUUCUCGAACUGGGGAGGACUGAAGCUGGAGAUCUGGUCCAGCCCCUACCUCCAGCGUGUGGCCUGAACCCGUUUUGGUUGUACUGCUAUGUUGUGGCCCUGCCCAGGCCUCCAAGGACUGGCUGCUGUUAAGCUGUUUAAAAUCCCUGUAGGCCUCAGAUGGCAGCGACACCAGGGACUCGGCAUAGUCCCCAGCUCUGGCAGGAGUCACCACAGCCCUAGCCUUUAGUUCUCUACAGGCUGGAGUGUCGACAAACUCCACAGGACACAACUUUUUCAAACCAAAUUUACCCUCGCGGUCUGAAAUGACCAGUAGGCCCAGGAGAAUUUUACAUGUGAACAGAACCUAACCCACCCUGGCAAAUAUGAGACGUGUGGUCACUGCGGGAACCUGGCCAGCAGCAGACCAAAGCACAGCCAGCAGGGGAAGGCUGGGGCCCGCAAGAGUUGUGUUACAACAGGACACCCUUCAGUUCUCUUUCACUUCCUUAAAAUAGCAGCAGAGCGACUUUUGUAGACGCAGGCUGCCACAGUUCACACAAGGUCAUGGCUGUUUCCGAAUCCCACCCUUUAUUGCCCUAGCGGAGCCACUCCCCUUACCUCCGCCCCCAGAAACUGCUAGCCUGUUCUUAAAUUGAUACAGUUACCUUUUUAAAUGUUCUAAGUCACCGGCUCUGGAGCUUCUUUGCACUUUGGAACCAACUUGCGGGAAGGAACUUUAAAAAUACUGAUAUCUCGAUCCAUCCCCAGAGGUUCUGAUUUAAUGGUCUUGGGGAUAUGGCCACGGCAUGAGGACUGUUAAAACUCCGCAGGUGAUUCUUAUGUGCAACAAAGUUUAAGAACCACUGAUGUAGGCCAUGUCGAUGUCAGUCUUCACUUAAAUCCAACAAGACCCCAGAGCUAAAACGUUCACCUGAAAGAAACCCCAUUCCCAGGCCUGCAUACUGACCUGCGCUGGCUCACAAGAAGCAAAGUGGUCCCUUAACAGGGGCUUCCUGGAGAAAAUGUCUUGACCUAAAAGAGUGAUUCGAGCUGCAGGGAUUUAAGGACCGAGCUGAAGAAGCCCCCGUCUUCCAGCGCAUGUUAUUCCCAUGACAGAUGCUAAAAGUUCAAGGGGAGAGCUACAAGAAGUGCGUUUUCCUGUGGCUACUUUCAUGUCUGGAUGCAAUGCCUAGACCUGCAUCCAUCUUGCGACCAACCUGAAGAUGAACAGAAAGGAAGGAAGGAUGGCCCAAUAGCCUGGGAAGAACUGGUGUUCCUGAUACCAUCAUUAACCACAGAAUCUACAAUCCCGGAACCCCCCAUCCUUAACCAUGGAAUCUACAAUCCUAUCUCUAGACCCUUUGUCCAGAUGCUACAGUUUCUUUGUUCAAUCUAGUUUGUGUCAGGAUUUCUGUUCAUUACAUCAAAAGUAUUCUAAUACUUGUAGCAAAGCAACUGGAGAAGUUUUCACUUUGUCUUUAACCAAAGAAGACUUCCAGGAAACAUCUCCUCAGUGGGUUUCUCCCUCACCACUGGAUUUUUAUCUCUGUACUAGUGCUUUGAUUUGUUUUAGGAGUCUCACCUCUCCACCUGUCAUAUUUCCCUGGCAGGCUCAUUUCUGCUAAUGCCCACAAUAUGUGUAUCAAUGAGCUUUCAACGUUAGGUACACAGCUCUUCAGGCAUGUAUAGCACAUUAAUCUGUCUGCUUCUAAGUGGUCUGUUGACAUGUUUGGGUGCCAGUUAUAUCUACAAGGCUGUGAUCAUUGUCCUGGGUUAUUCUGUUUGUUCUCUCUGCAGGAUGCAUUAGGACACCCAAGGCCAUGGCCAUCACUUACAUCUAGGAUUCAAUCUUAUCUCCUGUGAAUCACUGGAAACCUCCUGUCCUGGAACCCUUUUUUUCCACAUCCCACUGGAUGUCAUUCAUAGCAACUGGUCUUGUGGGUUGUCUAUUUUAUUGUGUUGUCUUACUCUUCCUCCUGGUAUCAGUUUUUAAAUCCUCUUGAUGAGAUCAGCUGAUCAGUCGCUAAGCAACAUAGUCCCCCAUGUCUUUGUAAGAUUCUCUGCACUCAUGGCUAGAAUGAUUUAUUCUGGUAUCUUAAGCUGUGUUUCAGAACCUCAUUCUAAAUAUCAACCUAUUCUUGUAAGUCCACUACUGAUCAUCUUUAGAUAUUCUUCAGUCUUCCAGAGUUCCAAAGGGCAGUAGGAAGAAGCAAUGAAAAUACCACCUGUAUUCUCACAUCUUUCAUUGUUCCACUCAAAAAAUACCACCAUGUUCACUUCUGGUGGAACGUUUAUGUCCAUGAGAAGCAGUGGCUUUGAAGAGUUUUGGCAGACUAUGGCGCCUUACUCAACAUUGGGAAGGUAUCUUGCCAUCAGACCUUUUGGGUCUCCAUGAAACUUCUUAUACCCCCUCUGGGAAAAGUCACUAACUGUGAUCUUACUGAGCUUCUAAACACAGCAUUUUUUUUACACUUAAGUGAGCGGGGGUCCUCCUCAUUUGUGCUUCUCUUCUUGUAAGGGUGACUUCCUCCCAGUAGGAUGAAUCUCAUGCCUAUUUGUGUUAUUUUGCUAAUUCCAGCUUCUUUUCUACUCAGGGGGGUUCCAACUCUUUUAAGGUCUCAUCUUCAGCACUUCUAAACUGUGGGAAACUAUGUGAAAACAAAUGGAGUGGCCAAACACACCAUUCAUCACUGUGCUUCUGGACAGCUGCAAGUCCAUACGUGUUCUGAUAAUUCAAUACAAGAAAGAAGAUUUGCUUGGGAAGGUCUGAAUGGCCCUAGCUUUGUUUGUUAACCAUAACCUCUACCAGCUGGAAACACAAUGCCCCACUAAUACUAACAGUGCCUGCUUGUCCAAACAGCAUUCUGGCCACUUACAGCAAUUGACACAAAUUCUAACAGGUAGAUGGGGCAAAGCAUUACCUUGUGUAAAACUGCUGCUAAAAUAUAUUCCUAGUGAGAAAGGUCAACUUGUGGGCUAAAGUCCUUGUCACCUCCUGAUCAGUUUUCACUUAGGGCACAGCAGUCUGCCAUUCACCAUUGGGAUCUCUGUGUGUUUCUUCUCUCUUAUGAAAGGACAUAUUGAGCGCUCUAGGACUUGGCUGCCUACAUCAAGUAGAGGGGGACCCUCAUGAUUCACUAAGGGGCCUCAGUUCUGAAUAUUUCUCAUUAUUCAAAAAUGCAAAGCCAUUGUCAUUACGUGGCAGUUUAUUGGAACCAAGGGAGGAAUUGGUCCCUUUUCAUGUUCUUCUCCUAAAUAGAGAAAAGGUAAUUAAAACUUGGAGCUUAAUAAGGGCCAUCUCUAUUUGAACAGCCUAAUACAAAUCCAUUCUCAAUACCUUUUUACACCUUGUCUGAACUGACUUCUACUGUGUACUCCACUGCAUGGGAAUUCUGGAACUUUAGAACGAAGGGAACUCAAUUCAUUCUAUAUAUAUCUCAUUCAUUCAUUUUUUUUUCAUUUGUUCACCAAAUGCUAACUCAAUACCUACGUAACAGAGAUAAUGUUCUUAUUGUCUGUAAAUCAGAAAAUGCAUGCAUUGAAUAAACGCCAUAUAUUCUUGGAAGCUGAGGGCUGAUAACUCAAGGUAAAUGAUCAGCUAGUCUCCUAUGAAAUAAGUAUCUUAUUUCAUGUUACAUGUAGAAAUGACCAUGCAACUUUAUCUUAAAGCCAGGCCUUAUUGAGAAAAAGGGGAUCCAAAUUCCAAAUGUUUCCUUACAUGCUGAGAGGAAACCUUGGAGGUCUGAGCGUGAGUCAUAGGUAGAGGGAAAUCAUGCUAAGAUAUAUAUUGUUUCCACCAGACAGGUAGAGGAAGCAGAGACCCUUUGGCAGAAGAGAUACAGAGAAGAGAGGAGGAGAGGUUCUGGCUUUACCGUUCAGGCUUGAAACCCCAAGUUUAGAUGGAUUGAGGGGGAAGCUUAAGGCAAACAUGACCCCUGGGCCAACACAGGCUAGAGGAACAAUGUAGAAAUGACCAUGUAACUUUAUAGGCAUGAAGAAGAUGCCUGUGAUGGCACUGAGUCUCCUGUGGCUCCCUUGUGUGCCCAAAUGCCUGAAGGAUGUGAGAGUAUUGGUUGUUAGAAUUUCAGGGAAUUCCACCAAGUGGGGAAUGACUCUGUAUUAAGGGCUGCAAAGAAAAGCUCCCAGGCCAAGCAUUGAGUGGGAGGUGCUACCUGCCCUCAGGGAUCCACAGGGACUUCAACAGCUGAUGUGGGGUCUCAUCAGCCUCAAGGUGGCCAAGUUUCUAUGCUGAGACUAUAGCCCACAGUUACACCAGCCAUGAUCCUCAGCAGCAGAGGUAGUGAUGAUGAAGUCUGAUGCCCAAAGACAAGCAGAACAAUAUGCACAGUUCCAGCCAAUGCCACGAGGUAGCCUUUGUACUUCCCUAUACCUAGCUGGGAGGGAGGAAGGAAGGAGAGAGGAGACUCCUAGGAAGAGGAGAAAAUAAUUAUCCCAAAGAGACUGACAUAACCUGGAAAAGACCGAGAACUACUAAUUAGCAAGAUAAAGUUCAUUUACCUCUUCCUGUUUCUUACCAAGAUGGUAUGUAUCCUUUCAGAUAAUAAAUAAAUUUAUGUUUUCUUGCCCUAUUUUAAUGUGAUUUAAAUGUUUCUUGUUUUUUCUGUUUUCAUUCAUAACAAAAAUUUUGUUCUCAGAGACACUGAGACAUGAGACACGAUGCUGGACUAUAUUGGGGGGGAGCACCUCAUCAUAUGGGCAAGAUAUUGCAGCAGCAUGUAGCCCUCCACGUCCUGACUGCUCACUUCUCUUUCGCCAUCCCCUAACACACGUAUUAGGCUUUUGCUAUGUUCAUUUAUCUAGCCCAUAAGCCACUCCUUCAGAGGGCAAUGCAUGGAAUUGGCAGCCUUGGUUCCCCACCAACUGACAGGGGUCUGGAAUUCAGGUGUUUCCAAAGACCUGCAGUCUUGGGGGCCUUAAUGCUUGCUGAGUAGCAGCACUUUCUAGGACUUUCCCUAUUGUACGUUUCAGUCCAUGCUUUUCUUUUUGUCUUGUCUCAGUGUUCUUCCCUGCUAGUCUGGUUCUCAACAAGACCCAAGCCCUGCAACACACCCAAAUCCCCUUGAUGGGAACCUGAUUUCCUACGUGGCUUUUCCCAGUCACCCCAUGCUCUCCCCACUCCCAUCUUUCCUGGUGAAUUGCUCCUUUCCUAAAUCUGUUGUGAAUAACAAUUUGGCCACAGUGCUAAAGCCUCUCACUCCUCACUUUAAAUUCCUUUGGGAAACAGUCAUUCAUGUUCAUUUUAGACAAUUUCCCUGUCCUGUGCGGACUCUUCUCAAGAAGUCUACUCCCAAAACUCCUGCUGAGGUAGGUCCAGGUCA
rnacentral:lncRNA from 10 species